AGAAAUUCAGUUGUAGAAAAUGUCUUGUACUCUGAUCAAAAUUGAGCACACUGGGAAGCUAGUAAACUUUGACAGUACUGUUCAAGACAGAAACAAGCAGCUCAUCAGUGGAAAAGCAGUAUGUAAACCUGGGGAAGCUGAACAAAUAUUUUUGUUUUCAUAAUUCCAAAUUCUUUAUUCAACAAAGACUGAUUAGUAUAGAUUUAAAAUGUGUCCCGAUUUAAGUGAAAAUGAGAAUUGGUUUGUAAAGAUGGUGACUGCAGCUUUGCAAAUUUACUUUUGCUAUGUGGAGAAGGUUUAGAUUUGCUUUCCUCAAAAGGUUUCGUGGUACAUGGAUUAUGACUGUGAUGGUAGUCAUACCCACUUUUGUGUAAACACUUUCAUUCUAUAUACAGUAUGCACAACGCUACAGUCUGAUAAAUUUGCAUGGGUUUAAGUUUGAACUUAAAGGCCACUUUGAAAUCAUAACCUCUUUAUACGAAACAAUCACAGUUUUGUUUGUAGUAAAAUGUCAUAGAUUUUCUUUUAUUCUAAGGCUUGUUCAUGUUAACAGCUAUGGUUUGUCAUGUGUUUUUCUCUUUGUGCUUCAGCAGUAGGACAGACUGUAGGAAAGGGAUGGAUGGAAGAACGUGGUCAGUAUUUGAAUGGAACAUGGCGCUGAAGAGUGGACCCGUGUUGCGUGUGGCUCCUCGUCUGUAUGUCUUUGUCCGUUUCCUAUUGUGGGCUUUCUGUAUCCAGUCUGUCUUUUCAAACAAUUAUUUAUGGCUGACAAGUGCUUGUG
rnacentral:lncRNA from 1 species